CGUUCUCCCUCCGCGCACGCUAGGGUUGCUGCCGCCACUGCCUCGCCCCAUCGGCCCAUGGCCAGGUCCUCCGACGCCAGCCACCGGAGAAGGAAGCAAACUCGACAUCCAAUCGUCCAGACCUUCUCUCGACCCAGGCAAGUCGCCUCCUUUCUUCCCCUUCCCUUACCCCCCGACCCCUCUCUGCCACCUCGUGUCCUACCCCUUUCUCUUCUCAAUCUGAAUCCAUGGAGAUAGUCGGCAGGGAGGACGAGUAUGUGUUGGAGGGCGCUGCCGGCGGCGCCAAAAGUAGCUCAACAAGAACCACCGUCACGUGGAGGCAAGACACUAUCGACACGGAUCCGCUUCGUCUGCGCCGGCAAGGGCCAGCCAUUCUAGAUCCGACCAGGGCCAGUUGCUGCUUGUUAUAAACCAGAGCACUGAUGUCUGCUUCCAGCUGCUGGGCCAUGGGCUCCUCCAUCUGCUCCGCAAGCUCAUGAUCCGCGAUUUCCUUCUGAAGCUGCAUGAGAGAAACAGAAAUGCAACAUUCACAAUGCAGUGAUUGUUCCUGGUUCUAGAAAAUAUUGCAAGGAAUUUUUGCUAUGUAUGAACCAAGAAAUGCGGCAUUUAGAUAUAUUUUGUAUGCUCCCCGCCCGGGUUGAACGGCUGCAUCCACCUGUUGUUAUGGUAGUGGAACCCCUCCAAUUAUAUCAAGAAAUAUAGUUCUUCGUUUAUCUGAUAGGGAUCCUAAUUGUAGCACCCUAGCCUGGACUUCUCAAGGGUGAACAUACUGAUGGAUGGAAACCAACCUAAUGAUUGAUGGUGUUAUCACCAGGAGGCAGUGGACUAGCGGUGGCGUGAUUCAAAAGUAAGUUUAGAUAACCUCGGAUACUGGAUUCUUCUUUUGAAUCUAAAAUAUCAGUCUGUGUUGUAUACAAUCUAUUGGAUUAGAAAUAGUUAACUAUCACAUGAUUUUGAUUCCACACUGUAUAAUGGACGUAACAAUAUUAGGUACUUAGGUUGGUCAAUAUAACUCAUUCUGGCAUUUUAUUGACUAUAACCAUUAAUUAUGAUUCAUUUCGAUCCUGUUUAUACGAAACUUAUGUUGUACUUAGAUUAGGUAGUCAUCUGUUGUUCUCAUGUCAUGUAACAUACUGACUGUGCUUCUUUUCUUUUACAUAGCUAUUGCUGAUUCUGCAUUUGAGGAUUUCAUGAAGCCAAGUGAUCCUCUUGUGCUCUGAGGAGCUCUGAUGUAUACAUGCAUCUGGUAUGAUCGCAUGCCUUAAUUCAUACAUAGGAGUUAGUAUUGUAACUAUUAAGUAGCUCAAUAAUCUGUUGGCAAUAAAAUAAGUUGGUAUAUACGAUGAAGAAGUACUGAAUCUCUUAAAGCAUAACGCCAUAAAAAUCAGCAUGCACUAAGGCCCAAGCACAAAGUAAAAAUGUUCUAAUUUGAAAAGAUUAAUUUAGUUUUGGUAGGGGUGCAUAGGUAUAAACAAUGAACCAUCUUUUCCAAAAAAAAUAAACCCUGGACCAUUCUGCAUCCAGUAUAUUGACAUAUUAGUUGCUCUCUUGUUUCUGAACAUUUUUGAACCAGCUGAGAAGUACUCAAAAUCUUAAAGCAUAAAGUCAUGAACAUCCUAGGCACAGAAUAAUCAUGCAGUGAAGAUACUUUAUUACAAACCAUGUAUGAUAUAACACCAACACCAAAUCCUUGAAGCAGACAUCCCAUGUAGAGAAGUGAUGAGUCAUGUGGAUUAAACAUCGAUUAGCAAGCAUGAAUCUCGUAUCGUCGCGAGAAGAGAAAUGGCAGAAAAUAAGCUUGGGAAACAUGUGGGUGCAUCAUGCCAUACAUUCGUGAAGGAGAUGGCGAGCCAACCGAUGAUGUUCUGAAUCGCCACCAUCGUUAACGACUGAAAAUUCAGUAGGCAUGUCCAUAGUAUAAAAGAUUAAAACUUUGGUGUAGUCAAGAAUUAAUUUGUUGCAACUUGCAAGCAUAUGACAUGAACAAAAUAAUGAACCUUUUAAGAAAAAGUCUUCACCUACACAUUGUCUGCAACACCAAUUUCUCUUCUCUGAUUAUCGUAUCAAAUGCCACGCGCAACUAAUUAAAUAACUCAUGAGAUUUGAGACUAAUACAAGCUCAACUCUUAAUUUUCAUUCGGAGGGAGGGAGGGGUCAAGAUUUUCUCACCCCUUUCUGGCCAAUGUGCUCGGCCAUCUGGCCGCUGGCGAUGGCCCCGACCAUGGCGCUGACUUGGAUAGCGAGCCGAACGCCAAGAACUGACGUGCAGGCACGAAGUUACUCGACAUCUUUAGUCCAAGAAGAAGUCGAAACAGAGCAAGCAUAGAGGCUCCAGGCACUACCUUCUCAUAGUUUUCAAUUUUUUUUUACUUAUGUUUUCAAUUUUUUUAUAAAUUACUUUCAGUUCAAUCUGCUUCUCAUGAUUUCCGCAAUCUUCAAAUUCAACUUGUGUUAGAGGCUUCAGUUCUUACAACAUAUGAUACUCGCUUGAUCAUCAUAUACAUUGUAUAAACAUAAAGUGAUGCACUGAAUGCACUAUGCUCUUGUCCAUUGUUAUUGUGUUUAUUUCCUAUCAGUUAAGAUAAAUAUAUAACUCUCAAAGUUUUAACUAUGGGUGUUGGAGGAGAUAGAUCGGGCAGAACUACAACCUGAGGUUGUGCAGGUUUACGGAUACGUCUUGCCAAGGUUAUAUUAUUUUAGGUUUUGGCGAAUAAAAAAGAUAUAUAGUAGGUAAAUAAAGCUCAGUUCACCACUCAAAUAAUUAUGAAUACCAAUGCAGUAAAGGUAUGAUGUACGCUUUUAAAUAACAUUUUAUAAUUCUUUGGUAACAUCAGUGAAAACUAUUGAAUUGUGUUCUCUAAUUAAUUAUAGUUAGCUUUGUUUCAGAUUGGGUGUUAAUAGAAAACAUAUCCAUGCAUUGAUGAAUUCACAUUUGAAGGGAAACUGCUGAAAAUGAAAGGUGACAUAUUCGAUGGUUUUUUCUCUCAUUACUCACAAUCUGAACUAGGUUCGGAAGACAAAAUCUGGAGCCUUACUUUGAAUGUCCAAGGAGGUGGAAGCACCAACAAUGCCCUCAACAUAGCUGCUCGAUCAAUUGGAUCUGAAUCCAAGGAUGACAUCCAACAAAAGGUACCCAACUUCCUUUAUUGCUUUAACCAUACUAGAGUAGCUGUAUAUGGUGCACUUGGCAGGGAUAUUAUCAAGGAAUUCCAAGAUGAUGGCUGCAUUUUGCACUGAAAUUGGGAGGUGAGGCUCAAAAAGAUACAGCGGAUACCGACGGCGGCGGCGGCGGCGAAGACUAGCCCGGGAUCUGGGACAGUGGAUGCAUUGAGCACGAGGUGAAGAUAAGCCACUCCAUCCGCGGUCACUAUUUUGUUCAUUCUUUUUUUGGAGAUGAUUUCAGUACUCUAUCAAUGUGAUGUUAGAGCCAAGAUGCAUGUGUCACUUGUUUCAUCAAGUGUGUAAUGAACUUUAAAUUUUGUUCAUGAUGAUCUUAAAUCCCUGGUUUCUCCUGGCUACUUGCUGCUUAAUAUGCCUAUUAUGCAAUAACACUGCAUACUAUAAUAA